rnacentral:rRNA from 1 species
UACAGAGGGGGCAAGCGUUGUUCGGAAUUACUGGGCGUAAAGGGCGCGUAGGCGGCCUGCUAAGUCGAACGUGAAAUCCCCGGGCUCAACCCGGGAACUGCGUCCGAUACUGGUUGGCUUGAAUCCGGGAGAGGGAUGCGGAAUUCCAGGUGUAGCGGUGAAAUGCGUAGAUAUCUGGAGGAACACCGGUGGCGAAGGCGGCAUCCUGGACCGGCAUUGACGCUGAGGCGCGAAAGCCAGGGGGAGCAACGGG